rnacentral:pre_miRNA from 1 species
AUUCUACUCCCUCCGUUGCACAAUACAUGCCUUCUAUUUGUCAAAAUAUAUAUGUAUCUAGACAUGUUUUAGUAUAUAUGUACAUCAAUUUUUGGACAAAUGGAAGUCAAGUAUUUUUGAACGGAUGGAGUACACA